GAUGAACGCUAGCGGCAGGCUUAACACAUGCAAGUCGAGGGGUAUAGUUCUUCGGAACUAGAGACCGGCGCACGGGUGCGUAACGCGUAUGCAAUCUACCUUUUACAGAGGGAUAGCCCAGAGAAAUUUGGAUUAAUACCUCAUAGUAUAAUGACUCCGCAUGGUACUACUAUUAAAGUUACAACGGUAAAAGAUGAGCAUGCGUCCCAUUAGCUAGUUGGUAAGGUAACGGCUUACCAAGGCUACGAUGGGUAGGGGUCCUGAGAGGGAGAUCCCCCCACACUGGUACUGAGACACGGACCAGACUCCUACGGGAGGCAGCAGUGAGGAAUAUUGGACAAUGGGCGCAAGCCUGAUCCAGCCAUGCCGCGUGCAGGAUGACGGU
rnacentral:rRNA from 1 species